UUGUAAACCGUUGGUAUUUACGGUGCAGACAUGGAUACAGUUUUUAUGUAUCAUAUUGUAUUAUUAUUAAGAAGGUGUACUUUAUCCUUUUGAGGUUUGGUGUAUGGAUUCACAGAUGAUAAUCCCAUAUCCGCUUUAACCAAAACUAUUGAAGGAUUUAUUACAAUUAUAUAGGAAAGAGUUAGUUUCCGACAAGCUUUUUGAAAACAUAUAUGUGAAGUGAAUGUACAUAUGCAGCUUUGCAAUAAGUGAUAAAAAAAGACACAAAGAAUUUUAAUAAUAAAGAAAAGAUCUAAAGAUGUUGAGAUUGUGCACACGCUGCUUACCACUGGAUGUGAGAAAUUGUACAUAGUUACAAAAGGAUUGUAAAUUACUAAUAAGAGAGGAGAUAUUUAGUUGUGAUUAUAUAGACUGAUAAUUGAGUGAUAUAGAAUUAAAUGAUGACUUAUAGUUUUAUGGUCUAUUAAUUUUUGAAUUGUGGUUAAAUGAUACCUGUAAUGAUAAUAAAAUAUUAAUUUAAUACAUCAUUAUAUUCAUA